UUGAUGUUAAUUAUGACAUAUCUAUCAAAUGUUUGUGGUCUAAACCAAAUCUUUUAAUUAUGAAACCAUCAGGCUGGUAUGAUGCACAUAUGUUUUAGCCUUUUAGGUUUGGAAGGUGCACCCCUUGCAUUGCUCCUCCAAAAAGUCCUACUUUCCCUAAUUGAUUCCAACAUUGAUUCCACAGCAAGUGUUAGUAUGAAGAAGAGGAAUUUGAAUCCCAGUUGCCCGUGCCAGAGUCUCAACUCUCAGAAGAUCACUUUGAGGAAGGAUUGAAUGGCCUUUUUCAAAAUUCAGCAGAAAAGAAGGGGCUAAUUUCAAAACCAGCAAAGUUCAUCCCUGUGUCUCCUUCACAAAUUCCAUCUAACCUCAGAUCAAUUGUAGAUAUUUGUGGUAUUCAACUAGGGCAAUAGCUUCCUCUUUGUUUGAGUAUAAGCUCUGGCUUUUCUGUGUUUUUAUUUCCCUUUGGGCUAUUUGGCAGCUUUAAUGUCUCAAGUAGGAAGCCUUUUCAGCCUUGUUUUUCUUCAGCAUGAAGGUAUUGGUUUUGAGGUUUUAUUUUCCAGAUAUUUGCUUCGCUGGCAGUGUGUGGUUGGUGUUUGGAGUCCUCAGAGUGUCUUCUUUGCUAUUUGUUGGCUAAGUUUGAAGUCUUUAUCGUGGGCUGCAGUGGUUUCUUUUCCAUCAUUUUGGUUCGCUCGAGUUGAUGAUCAAGUUCAAUUCUUAUUUUCUUUGGAAGGUGCUGUCAGCUGGUAACCUUCCAUGACUCUUAUGUAUUUGAGAAAGUGAGCCUGUAUAUUUAGCAAAGCUGGAUGGCAAGGAACUAAACAAUUCUUCCAUUACAAUGGCUGCUGUAGUUGGCUCUUUGUCAACAACCAAGUACUUUAACUUCAAUCCUCAAGUGACACACAGCUCCUUUGGAAGCCCUCUCAUGUUAGUGGUUUAAAGGUCAAAGCCAAGAUACUUUGAAAGUGCACUGCCAAACUUCUUUGUUUUGCCUUGGGGUAUGGCCUUCAAAACUAAGGCUUGUUUCUUUCAAUAGUUUUUAAUGAAAUUCAACCAUCAAUUCCCUGCCUAUUUUUGGACUGCUUUAUUUAUAAAUCUUGAAGUCGAAAUCACCAUUUUGCUAGUUGGUUGUAGCGAGGUUCGCCCUGCCCCUCACCUCAUUUCUGUUUUUCUAAAAGAAAGACGUAAAAUCCUUUGAGUGGGUGAAUAAGAGACCGAUCGAACGAGGAACAAUAAAAGAAGACGAAGUCGAUGAGCUAAAGCGUGUGAAAGAAAUGAAUUGGUUCGCUUUUUGGAGCGGCCCCAGAAGAUGAGAUUUAGACGUGAUUUGAAGAACAAUAAAGGGCAUAUAUCUGGAUCAUUGUCUUGUGGAGAGUGGAACUCUAAAAUUAAAUUGAAGAGAUAAUUUUAAGAUUAUCCAAAGAUGGUUCUUUGCAUAUAUGGGAUGUAGAUGACUUCAUGAGUAAAAAAGUAGGUUUCUUUAAUCUAGAACUUUGUUGUGGUUAAAUAACAUGAUAUUUUUUUCAAUGUGCACCAACGAUCAUGCACUGUCUUUGUAUAAUUGUUUAAUGAGAAGUUUUUUUUUCCUACUCUAUUAUUCGUUAUCUUAUUAUUUACACGGAUAUGUUGGUGGAGAAGAAAUGUUUGCAUCUGUUGAAUGUGUAAUAUAAAACAAUAAUGUGCAGGUUAUCAAAUCAAAGUUGGUGAAAUGGCUCUGAUAACAUGUGCUUGGGUCCAUGACCUCUUCAAUUAGUUAUUGUUAUGUGUAAGUUUGAUUUGGAUGGUUGACAUUGUAUUCUUGAGGUUCUUGGAGUUGGCAAUUCUAUAUUAUGAAGCUUUAAAUUCCAAACUAAUUAGCUUUAAUUUGUAACUAGGAUACAGUUUAUGGAAGAUCUAAUAGUUUUAGAUAGGCCAGAUCGAUUUGAUUCAUUGUAAUCCUAUUAGUUUGAGCUUAUAUGUAUUUCAUCCCAUAUCUUGACAGUUUACUGCUUAUAAAUUUUUACCUGGUGUUUUAGAAAAGAUCACAUUAGUAGAGUAUUUAUUAUAGCUAGGUAAGACUUGAAAAUAGAACUCACAAACUUCUUAAAGGGGUCCCACUAUGAUUUAUACUGAGUGGGAGUUAUACUGUCAUCAUCAUGUCUUCUAUUAGAAAAUUACUUAGAUUAUAUUGCAACUGUUUGUAUGAUUAAGUUUGUUUAUGUUUACUUGGUUUUUACACUAUAUCUUCUUUAGCGUUUUCAAUCGUGUUUUUUCGUCAUCCUAUGAUUGUGCUCUCUGUUGACUCAAGUUCAAACUAUAAGAAUUAUUGCUGUUAAAUGAAGUAGUUUGUGACAUCAUUUGGUGGCUUGGGCUAUGUAUUUUCGAUUGGGAAUGAAUUAUUGUGGUAUAUUCCUAGCUACUCUCUAUUUUCAAACUUUUUCCAGUUUGCAACCCUCCCUUUAUAAUCUUGCCUUCUACAUAGUUUUUUAUUUGGAGUUGUAAAUAUGAUAUAUUGUUUUCUUUGGUUAACUCAUGAUUAUUGAAUUUGGUAAUUUUUUGGUUCACUAUAGUAAAAUAUUGAUUAUCUUUUGUAGUUCAAUAUAGUAAAAACUUAUUUCUCAUUAAUUAAAUCUCUUGUUUUCUUUGAUUUAGAGCUCUUAAUUUAACUUUCGCAAUUUGAUGGGCUUUCAGGUUUCAAAGGAACGAGCUUUUUGCAUUAUUGAAUUAGAGGUACCCAUCUUGGUGCUGGUUGUAGGCUAAUCAAUUGUUUCUAUUCGGUUGGGUUUGUUCUUCUUCUUAGCAUGAUUGGGUUUUUUUCGUGACUAUCUUACCGUUAUGGUAGCUACUUCAUUUAUACAUGUAGUUUUGGGACUAUCCUGCAAUUACAUCAGCAGUUUCUAGAUUGUUUUAAGUUACUUUUGGUCAUGAAGGAAGUGUAGGUACAUGUAGGAUAUGUUCAUAGUUUCACGGGUGGAUUACAUACAAGUUAACUGCAGGAAAUUUUUAUGUAGUUAGACACUUAUUAGGUAGUUUUGAUAGUGAAAGUGUAAGUAUAAUGGUCAAAUUGUUGCUAAUGCUGCUGCUCUUCUGGGCGAGUGUGGCAUCAAGCUUCUCGAUGCUAUCAAGUAUCAACCCCAAUGUCGACUGUAACACCAUUAAAACGUGAGGAAAGUCAUGCAGCAACUGUAGUAGACGGCGUUGUAUAGAUGGAAUAUCGUCUAUUUGAAGACCCUUUUACUUGGGCUUAUGGUAUUAGAAUUUAAAUUGUUAUAUAUAUUAGUGUUUAAUUAAAAGGCAAAUAAGAUCCUUCUCUUCCAAAUCCUUAACAAACUGCUGCUUUGUAACUUGUAUGCUCUUGUUCUUCCAUGAGCAACAAAAAUUAGAUGUUGAUUGCUUCAAUUUUAGAGUUAAUUAAUCAUGUAUUCACUUUUGCAUUUGGUUACUAGAUUUACU